rnacentral:rRNA from 1 species
UCCGGAGGGGGCGAGUGUUGUUCGGAAUUACUGGGCGUAAAGGGCGCGCAGGCGGCUUGGCAAGUCGAGUGUGAAAUCCCUUGGCUUAACUGAGGAAUGGCGCUCGAAACUACCUCGCUUGAGGGCGGGAGAGGGAAGUGGAACUCUCGGUGUAGGGGUGAAAUCUGUAGAGAUCGAGAGGAACACCGGUGGCGAAGGCGGCUUCCUGGCCCGUCCCUGACGCUGAGGCGCGAAAGCGUGGGGAGCAAACAGGAGUAGAUAACACCGUAGUGC